rnacentral:ncRNA from 1 species
GGAGAAAAGUGGCAAACUUGUUGAAAAGCAAGGACGCAAAGCUUUAGGGGCUAACGGAAAACCUAAGCCAGCCAGCUGCCUGG